rnacentral:rRNA from 1 species
AUUGAACGCUGGCGGCAUGCCUUACACAUGCAAGUCGAACGGCAGCACGGGUGCUUGCACCUGGUGGCGAGUGGCGAACGGGUGAGUAAUACAUCGGAACGUACCUUAUCGUGGGGGAUAACGCAGCGAAAGUUGCGCUAAUACCGCAUACGCCCUGAGGGGGAAAGCGGGGGACCGUAAGGCCUCGCGCGAUUAGAGCGGCCGAUGUCUGAUUAGCUUGUUGGUGAGGUAAAAGCUCACCAAGGCGAUGAUCAGUAGCUGGUCUGAGAGGACGAGCAGCCACACUGCGACUGAGACACGGCCCAGACGCCUACGGGAGGCAGCAGUGGGGAAUUUUGGAGAAUGGGGGCAACCCUGAUCCAGCAAUGCCGCGUGAGUGAAGAAGGCCUUCGGGUUGUAAAGCUCUUUUGUCAGGGAAGAAACAGCAGCUCUAACACAGUCUGCGAAUGACGGUACCUGAAGAAUAAGCACCGGCUAACUACGUGCCAGCCGCCGCGGUAA